rnacentral:rRNA from 1 species
AUUGAACGCUGGCGGCAGGCCUAACACAUGCAAGUCGAACGAGUGGCGGACGGGUGAGUAAUGUCUGGGAAACUGCCCGAUGGAGGGGGAUAACUACUGGACACGGUAGCUAAUACCGCAUACCAUCGGAUGUGCCCAGAUGGGAUUAGCUAGUGGGUGGGGUAAUGGCUCACCAAGGCGACGAUCCCUAGCUGGUCUGAGAGGAUGACCAGCCACACUGGAACUGAGACACGGGCCAGACUCCUACGGGCGGCAGCAGUGGGGAAUAUUGGACAAGGGGCGCAAGCCUGAUGCAGCCAUGCCGCGUGUAUGAAGAAGGCCUUCGGGCUGUAAAGUACUUUCAGCGGGGAGGCGUUACCCGCAGAAGAAGCACCGGCUAACUCCGUGCCAGCAGCCGCGGUAAUAC